UAUAAGCGUUUUUUUUUCUUAUAUUCGGAUUUGAGCAGGCUUGUAAGCAUUCCGCUAUUUUGGCGUUCCGUUCAACAAAAAAAAUCUUUGUUCAUCGUUCAGCCAUUAUUUCCGUUCAGCGAUCCGUUCAUCGUUUCAAUAAUAACGAAGUACCAUAUACAUUGUACGACAACACAUUGCAACUUCCACUUAGAUAGUGUCAGGGAGGCCUCAUUUGAGAACUAGGUUCAUUCAUUGUCGAGAUGGAGGCCAUAAGGCAAAGUAUAGCCGAUUUGAUUCGAGCACAGCAACAAGACAAGAAGAACUAUACCAUGGAUUAGUCGAGAAACUCUAGGGAACAACAGCUAUCUCGCCUAUGCGGUCGAUGAGGUUCCGCCUGUAAACCAAAAUAAGUUCCCAGCCUCCGCUAUGAUCUUGGGAAUCGUGGCAUCAUACGAGAAGAGGAUGUCCCGUAUUAGUUCCAUAAAGGCAUAAAAAUCGUGGCCUAGGAGUACCUGGACGUCCUCAAGGAGGUGGUUUUGCCUUGGGUGAAGUCCAACUACUCAGAGGGAAGUUAUGUGUUCUAUCAGGACUAUACUGCGGUCCUUACAACACACAAGAGCAGAAUUUAUUAUUUCUAUUGGCCCUUUUGCUGAAAUUCCCGACAAAAGGAUGCUCCUCGGCCCAAUGAUUCAGAAUUAUUGAGCUGGUCAAGCUUAGGUAGAGUACUAAAAACUUUCAUGUUCUAUAAGAGCCUUUAAAAAGUGCCCACUCAGCACCUCCUAUCCCCCCUGUGGCACUGCCACAAAAUAGGACUUUGCUUUAUCAGUCCUUCAAAUCAUAUUUAAAAAAUUAAAAAAAUAUAUAAACAUGGAUUUCUCGAAUUUUUGUAUGUAUUAUUGGAACAAAACGCUAAAAUCUGAUUUUUACAGUUCAACGUUGAAAAAUCAGAUCCAUUCAUUGGACGCCGUUCAAUUUUGCAUUCCACUUACAAGCCUGGACUUGACCAUACAUUUUUCAGUCUAACAUUUAUAGUCAUAAAUGGCUUAGGUAGAAUGAAUUCCUUACAAAAGCCAAUGGUUCAACUAAAUCACUUUUUGUAUUAACAAAGACAAUGAAAUUAUGCCAAUUCUCAACCAUUAGCCAAUUUACGCUACGCAAUUGAAUAGAUUUCUAGAAUUUAUAGACAUUAUAGCAAUAGAAAACAUUAAAAGUGAAAUUAUAUUAUAGAGUAAUCUCGGAUGUACACGUAUAAUGUGUUUUAUUUCAAAUUAUUUUAUUAUUGCUUUAAACAACUCCAGAAUAAAUAAAAAUUUGUCAA
rnacentral:lncRNA from 1 species